AUUGAACGCUGGCGGCAUGCCUUACACAUGCAAGUCGAACGGCAGCACGGGAGCUUGCUCCUGGUGGCGAGUGGCGAACGGGUGAGUAAUACAUCGGAACGUACCCUGAAGUGGGGGAUAACGUAGCGAAAGUUACGCUAAUACCGCAUAUUCUGUGAGCAGGAAAGAGGGGGAUCGCAAGACCUCUUGCUUUAGGAGCGGCCGAUGUCGGAUUAGCUAGUUGGUGAGGUAAAGGCUCACCAAGGCGACGAUCCGUAGCGGGUCUGAGAGGAUGAUCCGCCACACUGGGACUGAGACACGGCCCAGACUCCUACGGGAGGCAGCAGUGGGGAAUUUUGGACAAUGGGCGCAAGCCUGAUCCAG
rnacentral:rRNA from 1 species